rnacentral:rRNA from 1 species
AGAACGAACGCUGGCGGCAUGCCUAACACAUGCAAGUCGAACGAGACCCCAACUUCGGUUGGACGUCUAGUGGCGCACGGGUGCGUAACGCGUGGGAAUCUGCCCUUCGGUUCGGAAUAACUCGGAGAGAUCCGUGCUAAUACCGGAUAAUGACGUAAGUCCAAAGAUUUAUCGCCGAGGGAUGACGCCCGCGUAGGAUUAGCUUGUUGGUGAGGUAAAGGC